AAGUCGUAACAAGGUUUCCGUAGGUGAACCUGCGGAAGGAUCAUUAACGAAUAUCUAUGGCGUUGGUUGUAGCUGGCUUCUAGGAGCAUUGUGCACGCCCGUCAUUCAUAUCACCUUUCCACCUGUGAACUAUUUGUAGAUCUGGAUCCCUCUCGCUUUGCUCGCAUGGCGGAUGCAAGGAUUGCUGUGCCUCUAAAAGCCAGCUCUCUUUGAAUUUCCAGGUCUAUGUCUUUUUACACACCCCAGUGCAUAACGCAGAAUGUAUCAAAUGGGCCGUAAGGCCUAUAAACACUAUACAACUUUCAGCAACGGAUCUCUUGGCUCUC
rnacentral:misc_RNA from 1 species